UGCAGCUCUGUGGAGGCGGUAGUUUGUGUGGCGUAGACUAGACGGGAGGCUGAGGGCUGUACUGAGGUGCAAAUGGGAUCCCGCUGGCAGUCAGUAGGCAAAGAUACCCAUGAAGCAAUUUGGAUUGUUUGUGGUGGUUACCUCCAAGGAAACCUUACUAGUAUGAGAUCUGUACAUUCUUCAGAGUCCUGCCAAAUUUUCUCAGGAAGGAGUGCACCUGCUCAGGUAUUUGUACACACACACACACACACACACACAGUGGGGGUUCUUCAUAAUUUGAGUUGAUAAGUGAUGGUAAUAAUGAAUUUACUGAUUUCUGAAUUUAUGAUUGUUGCUCAUGUUUCUGCAGUACAUAUUUCAAACAAGACUCAGAAAUUCUUCAUAAACCUUUUAAUUGAAAAAAGCCUCUGGAAAGCUUGAGAUAGUAUUCAUUUUGGUGUCUGAGCAUGUUUGCUCCUGUCCUUUUCCCCAUCAUGGAAAGAAACUUUCUCACUGUCAGAAUGGCUGUUACAUGCCUCCCAGCUGUCACUAGGAAUCAGGGGAAAUAUACCUGAACUUAAUCUAACUGUGCUGGUAUUCUUGUUGAUAGACAUCAGAAGGGCUUGGAUGAGUGUUCUAAUCUUUAGUUAUGCAAAUAUCUGUUUUUCUUUAUUUCCCUAAAGCAAACUUCACAACAGAUAAUGGAAUUCUUCUCCAGCACUUCAACAAUUUUUCUGACAGAUAAAUUUGCAAGCUACUUUUUUAUGAAUAACAUUUGGAGGUGCAAACCUAGGUUGCAAAUGCAGCAUGUAACUGAAACAUAGCUCAAGCAUGGUAAAAAAGCAAGCAAGCAGACAUACAAAAACCACAUUUUGGGGAGGUGAGGAAAACAGCCUAUGAGGAUAGUUACAGUAGGAAAUUGUGUCUUUGAUGCUAAUGGAAAGCAGUAUUUUAAAGCAUCUAGGAUUUUAUUUGCCAGAAGUUUAUUGCUUAUCUCUCAUAGUGUCAGGCACUGGGCUAGAUGUAGGGGAUAGAAAGCUGAUUCUGAGUUCCAAAAUGACUGAAUAGGGUGUAGCCACACCAAUAUCAACUGCUGUGGCGUAUGGAAAGAACAAAAGCAGGAUCACAUUUCCAGGGUCCUGAGGGGUGGAGGUUAUUGGUUAAGAACAGAAAAAAACAAUGAAGACUCUCUGGGAUAAGAGAAGUGAGGACAGAGACAUCAGUGUGAGUCCAUCCAGGUGCAGGCUAUGGGCUGCCAUCAAAGCAUGACAAGGUAGGAAGAUAGCUGAGAGAGAAUUCCACAGUCACCCACUGACUUUUACAUUAGCCUUGGGGAACUGACAGGGAUCUGAAUAACAGCCAGGCUUGGAGCAGCAAAGUUGUUCUGCUUUCUUUACCUCCCCAACUCCUGCAGAGUACCGUACCCUGCCAUGAAAAGUCAGGCAGUGCUCUGUUCCACUCUUACCGGUAUCAGGA